CCCAAAAGUAUUUCUUCCCAAGGUUCUCAUACCCUGUGCAGGAGUCAGUUCUGGUCCAGACAUAGCAUGGACAUGAGGAUCUCCACUCAGCUCCUGAGCCUCCUGCUGCUCUGGCUCCAAGGUGUCAGAUGUGACAUCCAGAUGACUCAGACUCCAUCCUCCUUGCCUGCAUCUGUGGGAGACACAGUCACCAUCAAGUGUAAGGCCAGUCAGGGUAUAAUCAAUGCUUUAAAUUGGUACCAGCAGAAACCAGGGAAAGCUCCUCAACUGCUGAUCUAUGCUGCAACCGGUUUGGGAUCUGGGGUCCCUUCGAGGUUCAGUGGCAGUGGAUUUGGGACAGAUUUCACUCUUGCCAUCAGUAGCCUACAGCCUGAAGAUGUUGCUACCUAUUACUGUCAACAUGGUUAUGGUACCCCUCCCACAGUGAUACAAGCCAUGACAAAAACAGCCAGUGAAGCAGAAGUGUGAGGUUGGGCUGCCCCA